ACAUGCUGCCACAUUCGGAACAAGCUGCAAGUGUCCAGACAGUGUCCCCAGAACCCCAUGAGAUGGGGGUGGGGAGGUGCAGUAUUGGGUUUCCUGGCCACAAGGAUGUGCACUGCUGCUGCGAGAUCAUUGAGAAAAGAAUAGUUCUGAUUCAGACCAUUCAGGGAAGGGACCUGAUCACAGACAUCAGAGAAAUUCUUAUAAAAAUGAUGGAACUCGUUCAAGCCAUUCCAUACCUUCUUCCUCGUGAUUUCUGAAAUCUGGCAGAUCCCAUUUGUGCCUUUCAAUCCUGCCUGCCUGCACCAGGCUGGAUUUUUGCUUAAUAUGGAGGAAUACCGUUUCAGUAAAGCUUUGCUUUCAGUUCCAAGAGGAAGGAAUGGAUGGUUUGUUUAUUACAACUGAGAAAGGCAGGGGUCAUUCUAUCAGCCAUCUCACUGCAAAGGAUAAGCAGGGAAAUGAGGGUAUAUCUACUACAUACUUGUGGCAUCUGCCCUGCUCCCUAUACUGCUCGCCUAUGUGCUCCUUUGGUCCGUGCACAAGUGAUUGCCGAAUGAAGCGGGAAAGUUUCCUACAAUGGGGGAAGGAACAAAGCUGUUCUGCCACGGAACCUUCAGCAGACCAUGGCCGAGUACCUCCGGGAAACUUUCCUGGAGAUCUCUCUGGAGGAUUCCCAUGAGAACUUGGCAUGUAUCAACACCCUGUUCCACCGUACCGAUUAGCUACACAGGAAAACGACCAGCUCACAGAAACACAUCCAGCCUCCCACAUUUCUAUACCCUGAACCCACCUCCACACUACUCAGGCCACAGUCACUUACCAGGUGUCUCAUCUCCUGCUUCUUGCUCCCCAGAGAACGACUGCUGAGAUUGGCUAGACACCUCUGGAGUGGAGAACAGUUCCUGGCUGCCUGCCCCAUCGAGUGACCCCGCUGGGAGCUGCAUAUCCUCAUCUAACUCCACCUCUUCAUCAGUAAG